AAGACUAUACUUCACAGGAUCAUUUCUGUAGUCAGUCUUCAUUGAACCUUACCCUUUUACGCUACAAACUUUAUCCAGAGCGGU